rnacentral:rRNA from 1 species
UACGAAGGGGGCUAGCGUUGCUCGGAAUCACUGGGCGUAAAGGGCGCGUAGGCGGCCAAGUAAGUUGGGGGUGAAAGCCCGUGGCUCAACCACGGAAUUGCCUUCGAUACUGCUUGGCUUGAGACCGGAAGAGGUGAGUGGAACUGCGAGUGUAGAGGUGAAAUUCGUAGAUAUUCGCAAGAACACCAGUGGCGAAGACGGCUCACUGGUCCGGAUCUGACGCUGAGGCGCGAAAGCGUGGGGAGCAAACAGG